AGUGAACGCUGGCGGUAGGCCUAACACAUGCAAGUCGAACGGCAGCACAGGAGAUCUUGCUCUCUGGGUGGCGAGUGGCGGACGGGUGAGGAAUACAUCGGACUCUACUUUUUCGUGGGGGAUAACGUAGGGAAACUUACGCUAAUACCGCAUACGACCUACGGGUGAAAGCAGGGGACCUUCGGGCCUUGCGCGAUUGAAUGAGCCGAUGUCGGAUUAGCUAGUUGGCAGGGUAAAGGCCCACCAAGGCGACUAUCCGUAGCUGGUCUGAUAGGAUGAUCAGCCACACUGGAACUGAGACACGGUCCAGACUCCUACGGGAGGCAGCAGUGGGGAAUAUUGGACAAUGGGCGCAAGCCUGAUCCAGCCAUACCGCGUGGGUGAAGAAGGCCUUCGGGUUGUAAAGCCCUUUUGUUGGGAAAGAAAUCCAGCUGGCUAAUACCCGGUUGGGAUGACGGUACCCAAAGAAUAAGCACCGGCUAACUUCGUGCCAGCAGCCGCCGUAA
rnacentral:rRNA from 1 species